rnacentral:rRNA from 1 species
AUUGAACGCUGGCGGCAUGCCUUACACAUGCAAGUCGAACGGCAGCACGGGAGCAAUCCUGGUGGCGAGUGGCGAACGGGUGAGUAAUGUAUCGGAACGUGCCCAGUCGUGGGGGAUAACGUAGCGAAAGUUACGCUAAUACCGCAUACGAUCUUUGGAUGAAAGCGGGGGAUCGCAAGACCUCGCGCGAUUGGAGCGGCCGAUAUCAGAUUAGGUAGUUGGUGGGGUAAAGGCUCACCAAGCCGACGAUCUGUAGCUGGUCUGAGAGGACGACCAGCCACACUGGGACUGAGACACGGCCCAGACUCCUACGGGAGGCAGCAGUGGGGAAUUUUGGACAAUGGGCGCAAGCCUGAUCCAGCAAUGCCGCGUGCAGGACGAAGGCCUUCGGGUUGUAAACUGCUUUUGUACGGAACGAAACGGUCCUCUUUAAUAUAGAGGGCUAAUGACGGUACCGUAAGAAUAAGCACCGGCUAACUCCGUGCCAGCAGCCGCCGUAA